rnacentral:rRNA from 1 species
GAUGAACGCUAGCGGGAGGCCUAAUACAUGCAAGUCGAACGGUAAGGUCCUUCGGGAUACACGAGUGGCAAACGGGUGCGUAACGCGUACGGAACAUGCCUCUAUCAGAGAGAUAGCCCUGGGAAACUGGGUAUAAUACCUCAUAGUAUUGUAUUGCCGCAUGGUAUUUACAAUUAAAGCUCCGGCGGAUAGAGAUUGUCGUGCGUCCCAUUAGCUAGUUGGUAAGGUAACGGCUUACCAAGGCGACGAUGGGUAACUGGUUUGAGAGGAUGAUCAGUCACACUGGAACUGAGACACGGUCCAGACUCCUACGGGAGGCAGCAGUAGGGAAUAUUGGACAAUGGACGCAAGUCUGAUCCAGCCAUCCCGCGUGCAGGAUUAAGGCCCUCUGGGUUGUAAACUGCUUUUAUUAGAGAAGAAAACCUACAGAUUUAUCUGAACUUGACGGUAUCUAAUGAAUAAGCACCGGCUAACUCCGUGCCAGCAGCCGCGGUAAA